AGCCUGGUGACAUACCCUGGGUCACUCCCGAGCAGAAAAUAAGGAGUUUGAAAGAAAACACUGAUUCCUAAGGGCAGCUCGUUCCAAGGUUAGUUCCUGCACAGAAACAAAGCCUAUGAAAAUACCAGUUGCAAGUCAUUCCCUAAGUUCUGGUUUCCGUGCUGAAUGAUCUUAGAGCUGGAGGAAGGUCAGGCCCAAGUUACUUUCUCACUGAUGUAACCUGGCAGACUUUGCUGGUGUUCUUCCAACCAAGAAGUAACAAGGUGCCACAGCUAAUGGAAGUCACAAGGCAGAAAACCACUGUGUCAUUGGAAUGGAAGGAAAGAUGCCUCUGCAGUUCCAUCCUCAGCAGCAAAAAAUACAAGUGUUGUGACAAGAGGAAGUGCGAAUAAUUAAAUAACAAAAGAUCAAAUGAAAUGAGUGACUAAUGUUUACCCCGUUUCAGAAGGUCCAAAUCACAUUGUAGAAAAAGGAUGCUUGCAUCACCCCCAGAGCACAGCAGCAAACUGGGGCCACAGCAGGCAGUGGCUUACCACUGUGGCACAACAGGGCAGCUUUUCCUUUCAAAGAAAGGGCUUCUUUCUUCUCAGCUCAACAGCUGCUGCACACAGGGUCUCCAACAUCUCAGCAGUUUGAUUGUUGUACAUAGAAACAGCAAUACCAAAGCAUAAGACAUGUAACAACUUCAUGAAUGUUUCGCCAGCAGUUGAUACAAUGGAAAGCACAUCUCAAAACAGCAGGGCAGCAGAGUAAAACAAAAACCAUGGAGCCAGUAAUGUCAUGUCAUUUGGCACAUCCUUGCACUUCCCUUAAUGCGGUUUCAGAUUGUGGAAGGGAAGGCCAAUGCAUCUUAUUUGCUAAUUAAGGUUUCACAUGAUUCAAACACUGAACAAACAAGGGACAUCCCCAGCUAGAGAGACCUGCCAGCCUACAUGACCUUGCCAACAGACUGAUGUCUCAGUUCAGUGCUUUCAUGACACAGACAGUGAAAGAACUUUGGACAACUGCAUAAAUAAAUGUGUAUGCACAUGCACACAUUUUUAUGCUGGUAUGCACGCACUACCUCUGAUCGUGAUCCAAAAGUUACACCUCCCUGUUUGAGUUAAGGACACUCCAGACACCCUGCAGACACAGGCGUAACAAAUAGAAGACAUGAAAAUAACAGACUUCUAUUCUGUGGUGCCAAAUGGCUAAUGAUAGUAAUUAAGGAUUUUAAAGUUCUUUACCAAGUGGUAUUAUCUAAGAUAGCAUCAUGCCUGUAAUCUGGCCAGAGCCAAUGAAGAACUGCUGAUCAAGCCACCAAGGCAACAAAAACAGUCCAGUGGCUUGCCAUCUGCUCACAGCUCUGCAUUACACCUCAUCCCCCUCCAUACAGCAGUGAGCCACAACAGGAUGCAGAUGACCAGACUGUUUAGCUGUCAUUUCAGCUGAACACGCACUGUCUGUUGAUGUGUUACAGUGGACUCUCAAAACCAAACAUGACAUAUCACUGCUGGACAAAUAGCUUCUUCAAUGUCUUGCCUUGCCAUUUUUGUGUGUUGAUUGUACCCACACAGCAAGGGUCAGGCACAGGGCAGCGUGAUGCGAGGGACAGGUAUGGGAGCAGGAGAGCAAUAGGCAACACAAGGCAGAAUGUGCACGAAAAGGGCAUCAAUGACAACAGAGGGAGGAGACCUGAAUACUACCAGGAGCAUGAACUUCAUUACCCCUUGUAACCCUGGGACACAUCACAUGCCCAGAAGCCUCACCACGCUGCGUGCCAGCAGGCAGCCAGCCCAGCAGCACUGACUGCACUGAACCUGAGCCAGCCUGACACUCCUGUGCAAAGAACAAGAUCACUGGGAAAGUCUUCUAAAGGAGCAGGGAAAGAAGAUACAGAUUUGAGAGCCUCUGCCAUAAAGGGAGGCUUCGAAAUGGACGGUACCAUGACUCAGAGAGAAGAGACCUGAUGCAGAUGGUCUUGUGGCUCUGAGCUCCAAUUGCUCCAGUCAGUUGUUAUUUUCCAUCCUCUCCAUAUGUGCAGAUAUGACACUGCAAAAGUUUUUCUCCAUUGAGUUGUUCACAGAAAAGCCUCCAGACUGGGAACAAAAACCAAGACAGGAGAACCCCUUCUAAAGGCCUGACAUUUUAUUUCUCUAUGGUAGAGAGAGGAAAAUCCCUUU